rnacentral:rRNA from 1 species
UACGGGGGGAGCAAGCGUUGUUCGGAUUUACUGGGCGUAAAGGGCGCGUAGGCGGCCACCGCAAGUCACUUGUGAAAUCUCCGGGCUUAACCCGGAAAGGUCAACUGAUACUGCGGGGCUAGAGUGCAGAAGGGGCAACUGGAAUUCUCGGUGUAGCGGUGAAAUGCGUAGAUAUCGAGAGGAACACCUGCGGCGAAGGCGGGUUGCUGGGCUGACACUGACGCUGAAGCGCGAAAGCUAGGGGAGCAAACGGG